UUGAACGCUGGCGGCAGGCCUCACACCUGCAAGUCGAGCGGAUGAAGGGAGCUUGCUCCUGGAUUCAGCGGCGGACGGGUGAGUAAUGCCUCGGAAUCUGCCUGGUAGUGGGGGAUAACGUCCGGAAACGGGCGCUAAUACCGCAUACGUCCUGAGGGAGAAAGUGGGGGAUCUUCGGACCUCACGCUAUCAGAUGAGCCUAGGUCGGAUUAGCUAGUUGGUGGGGUAAAGGCCUACCAAGGCGACGAUCCGUAACUGGUCUGAGAGGAUGAUCAGUCACACUGGAACUGAGACACGGUCCAGACUCCUACGGGAGGCAGCAGUGGGGAAUAUUGGACAAUGGGCGAAAGCCUGAUCCAGCCAUGCCGCGUGUGUGAAGAAGGUCUUCGGAUUGUAAAGCACUUUAAGUUGGGAGGAAGGGCAGUAAGUUAAUACCUUGCUGUUUUGACGUUACCAACAGAAUAAGCACCGGCUAACUUCGUG
rnacentral:rRNA from 1 species